rnacentral:tRNA from 1 species
UCGCCCUCGGCGUGGUGGGCCGCGAUGCCGCCGUUGCGGGCGGCGAAGUUCGCGACCCAUCGCGGGAGCCGUUCGGGUUCGACCUCGACGAUC